CUGCCGAGCCGAGAAGUUCGUGACGAAUCGAAUUUACUGUAAGUUCGCUCAUCUCUAAUCAUAACAACAAUCCUCUUCUAGCAUCGUUUUAUAUUAGACACUGAGAAAGCACCCUGGCUGGGAAACACUGGUUUAUAGGAACUAGCUGGGAAUUUACAGACUAUUGUACUCGCUGGAAGCGGUUUCAUAUAUAUGGUUAAAUAAACAAAAACUUGUCUCUGAAUGUAUAUUAUUAUUAUUAUCGUCCGUAAACAUUUCAGGAAUUAUUUGUACGUGCUUUUUUUUUGUGAACAUGUAGUUUUAUAUCUUCUCCCUGUAUCCAUCCAAUGUGCUGCAUAUCCAUUUAUAGAAAAUAAAAGAACAAAAUGUG